AAUCAACGCUGGCGGCGUGCCUAACACAUGCAAGUCGAACGCGAAAGGGGGCUUCGGCUCCUAAGUAGAGUGGCGUCCGGGUGAGUAACACGUAGGUAAUCUGCCUUCGGGUGGGGAAUAACCAGUCGAAAGAUUGGCUAAUACCGCAUAAUGCAGCGGCACCUAAUGGUGAUUAGUUGUUAAAGCGGGGGAUCGUAAGACCUCGCGCCUGAAGAGGAGCCUGCGGCAGAUUAGCUAGUUGGUGAGGUAAUGGCUCACCAAGGCUUCGAUCUGUAGCUGGUCUGAGAGGACGGCCAGCCACACUGGCACUGACACACGGGCCAGACUCCUACGGGAGGCAGCAGUGGGGAAUUUUGGGCAAUGGGCGAAAGCCUGACCCAGCAACGCCGCGUGAGGGAGGAAAUCCUUCGGGAUGUAAACCUCACAAGCAAGGGAAGAGAGCUCAGGGCCGAAUAAGCUUUGAGUCCGACGGUACCUUGCGUAAGCCACGGCUAACUACGUGCC
rnacentral:rRNA from 1 species